AGGNAGAGACCCCACUAUCCGCCCGGGNCUACGAGCAUUAGCUUNNNACCCAAAGGACUUGGCGGUGCUUUAGACCCACCUAGAGGAGCCUGUCCUAGAACCGAUAACCCCCGUUUNAACCUCACCCCCCUUUGUUUUUCCCGCCUAUAUACCACCGUCGUCAGCUUCCCCUGUGANGGUCUNCAUAGUAAGCAGAACUCAUAUAACCCACUACGUCAGGUCGAGGUGUCUCGUCUGCAGAGGCAAGAGAAUGGGUGCUACAUNCCUCU
rnacentral:rRNA from 1 species